rnacentral:tRNA from 1 species
ACUUAUAAAGUAUAAUGUAUAUCUGACUUCCAAUCAGAAGGACUAAAUAUUUUUAGUAUAAGUA